CUGAGGGAGCGGCCGGGCCCGUCCGUCCCUGCUGUGCCUAAUUGGUGCAAAACGUGGAAUAUCUGGAAAUUUCCAUGUGAAGGGAGGUUGGGUGGUGUCUGAUCUUCGCAUGCUUCCAACCCUAAUCAACAGGAAAGGGGAUUUAACCCCUGAAAUAGCAGCUGAUGAGCAAUCCCUGAGUGAUGUCCAGAUGUUAAAAAAACAAAUUACUUGUGGGUAGGGUUACUCUGUGAAGGUUUAGGGCUCCAGGUGUUUCAGUGAUCUCCCGCUUUGGGGGAGGUUAACAAAGCUUGGGGAGAAGGAUGUGCAGCUGAUAGUGGAUACAAAGAAUGCAGAAUUUAUGGGCCGCAAGGACAUUUGGUAGGAUCCCAAAGAUCAGGAAGAAACGAAUAGACACAGCUCAGCAACUGUGCUGAACCAGCUCCAAUUGGAUAAAAUGUAAUUCUGGCAGGGGGAGAUGGUGACCACCAUCUCACCAACUCACUGACCCAAGAAACCCACUGACCCAAAAGAAGGAAAAGACUGAGUAUGGGACUAAUUAGCUGGAGAAGCAAGAGUAUCAUUAAUAAGCAGAAGACAGAAUACUAAUUAACAAGAGAACUGUGUAACUUUUAGCCAGUGAACAAUAAUGCCUUUGUUUACUAAAAUGCAUAACUAUUUAAAGGUUUUGGUAGUUGUCGUGCUGGCAUUGUGGCUUUGCCACCCAGCACCCCUUUCUGUGCAGAGCUGUGAAUAAAUCAAAUACCUCAGCUCUGUGUGUGGCUUGGCCUCUCACAUCCCAAGUCAAAGAACCCAUUUUGGGACCACAGCUACUGCCCUCCAAACCCCGUUCCCUGCCUGCCAUGGGGCCACAGUGCUUGUUAUGGGCAAUGGUGUGAUGGCAUGAGCGGGAGCCUCCCCCCAAAAACAUCCUCAGGGAAGGAGAAGUUGUGGCACUGGCCUUGGACAGCAUCCUUCCUGCCCUGCAGCACUGUGGUGGCAAGAGGAGAAGCUGAUAGUUUCAGUGGCAGAUGCACAGCAGAGCUAAAUGGCAGCUAAAAUAACAGAAUCUCUUCCCAUGGCUUGGUUUUUUGUUUUGUUUUGGGUUUUUUUCCAUACUAAUUGGUGAGUCUAUGUCCUUUAAAAGCAAUUUUCUGAUGCAUUAGAACACAUGGUGCACUUGGUGUGACUCUUGGGGCUGUCCUGUGCAGGGCCAGGAGCUGGAAUUCGAUGAUCCAUGUGGGUCCCUUCCAGCUUGGAGUAAUCUGUGGUUCUGUGACUCUCUGUAGGAGAAAAAGCCACACAGCAGAAACGUGGAACUGCAAGUCAAGGCUUUAACCACAAGAGGUCCUGCAAACCCGGCCGAUGUGGAAGGAUUUUGAAAACCUGUUCCUUCUAAAAGAACUUCUUCCUUUUCACAUCAAAGCACAACUUCCAAUUAACUUGUCAUCUCUUGCAUUCAGAAACAAUCUGAUGUGGUCUCUGCCUCAAACUGAAGCACAAGAGCAAAGGCAUUUAUUUUCCUGAGAAAAGUGCAGCAGAUUCCACUGCCUGUGGCCUGUGGGAUGCUUGGAAGUGGUACACGCUGCAGGAUAAGCCCCUCAGCAGGUGUGGCUGGUCCUACCAAAAACACUCACCAGGACCCGUACCUGCACAAGUGUUUGGGUGGCACAUUUUUGUCAAUUUUUUCCUGUAAAUAGACAACACAAUUGAAAUUUUUUUCUGGAAAAUGAUGGUGGUCAUCUAUCUGGCAGGUAGAAGCAGGGAGAUGGGAUGAAGCAGGACGGGGGAAAACUUGGGCAAAUGCUGAAAGCAGGCCCAGUUUUGAAAAGAAUUACUGUUUUGGACAGACUCCUGAUAGAUUCACCCUGGAGAUGACUCUUGUCUGAUCAUAUGAAGAAUGGAGAUGACAGGAAAACAUGAAGGGCCAUCUGGAUUUGGUGGCCUCCGGGGCCAAGAUGGUAUGAGUGGCACAGAAGUCAUUUUAUUGUUGGGGUCGAGUUUGGAGGCCCUGGGGUUUCUGCAGGCUGGGAGGAGCACGAGUCAGUCCUGGUGACUCUGCUAGAAGAGGGAGAGGUUACUGAUUUGGUAACUCUGUGAAUGUCUCAAGAAGAGAUUGUGAUCCUUAGACUUUACAGACCAUGUGGUCCAAAAGCUUGGGUGAGGAGCCUGGCAACUUUUUAAUUUGUGCCAUUCCACCAUACCAGUUUUCCAGGCCUGGGGUGUCCCUGUGUCUGUGUCUGGGCAUGCCUCCGUUUAUGGUGACUUGAAAAAUAUCACACUGGAAACAUACCUAAGUCUGUCAUUUAGAAAGUCUGGAUCCAACAUCAGACACCCUUGCUAAGGUGAUAUCCACAAAAAUGUAGAAAUUUAAAUUUGCAAUAAUGGGUUGCUGUAUAUCCCCUUUUCUCUGGGAUCAGGCUGGGGGAAACACAGAACACAACAGCAUUUAUUAGAUGCCUUUUGCUAUGCUGUUAUUAAUAGCAAGGGACUCAUUGCACACUGCAUUCAUUUAUUCCCUCCUGUGGUUCACAAACAUCUGCGCUGACGGGUGGAGCAAGAGUUGGAAGACCAACCCCAGCUGGUUACUUAAAAGCAGAGAUGUGUGUUGAUGUGUCAGGAUGUUCAGGAAGUCCCUCCAGAAAAUUUUGCUUCGUCACUUAUAUGUGUGUUUUAUAUAUUCAUAUGAACAGAUAGGUAGAUAGACAGGCAAUCUUGUAGUUUUGCAUAUAGCCAGCUUCAUGGAUGUAGCCUGCAUUGUACAACACCCAUGGCUGAUGCCAGUGGAUUUGGACAGAUUUGGCAGAGUGUCUCUGCUCAGUUUAUCAGUUUCUGUGGAUUCAGCAGGACUGUGAAGUCUCUGGAGUUUAUCAGCUCUUGGCAGACACUCGGAUGCUACUGCUUGGCACACACGUCCCCUCUCUUCAGCCUGCUUGUUCCUGGUGCCAAUUUCUCAUCCACACCCGUGCCUGGUAGAGGCAUUCACGCUAAUUCAAGCUGAGGGGGUUUUUGGGACAGGGUCUCCAUCUUCUCCCUAGUAAAAUACAUAAUUCUACUUGUUGUUCUGCCAAUUUCAACAGUUUCUAGAAUAAUUAAAACAUGAAAGUCUGAAGCUGUUUAAUAGGAGGUUACAAAAGGUGUUAUUACUGAAAACUCUACAAACUACUUUGUCCUCUUCCCUUUCUUAAAAUUUCCUAUUUUUUGAAGAGAAAGCCAUUGGGAAUUAUGAAGUUGCUGUAGUGCAGACUUCACAAAAAACUCAUCUGAACACCAAAAAUGCUGUAUUUAUCAUAAUUCUUUUCCUCUCUCUCCCCUUAACAAUGCAUACACAUAUACUCCCACACAGCCCUCAGCCAAGAUUUUUAGCUCCUGAAGUGGUUCUGAACAUUUUCCAUUCUAGAAACGGUGGAAAUGGCAAGGAUUUGUCUUUUUUCAAGAUAAUACCUCAAAAUUUUUGAAAUGAAACAACUUUGGCUAUACCUAGCUUUUCUGGAUUAUACAGUGACCCUCUGCUAUACACAGGCUUUCAUCCAGAGUUUAGAAUAAUUCAUUUCUAUAUUGUUAGUUGCUGGAAUAAGGAAAAGGCUACAUGUCACCCUGAUUUUUUAAGAUUUUCCAAACCUUCUGAUGUUUACAUUCUUGUAACGAACUUCCUCACACACUUUCUGUAAAUAACUCAUUGUUUUGCAUUCAUUUAUGGAGAAGGAGAAAUUGGAUGGACUGUUGGUUUGUCCAGUGUCAUUGGAGAGGUGGCACUUUCACCCCCCAAUCCACUGUCACUUUUGGAAAUCUAUAAAUGUUGGAGUCAGAAAAUAAACUACCCUUUUUACCUUGAGAACA